UAGAGUGGCUACGAAGCAAAAGAGGACGACGGCUAUGGCGGUGGCAGCAGCCGAUGCCGGCGUCUUCUUCAGCCACCACUGGUACAGCCACCGCAGCCUCUGAGGAUUGGAGGAGGAAGAAGAACGACCCCAGAAGAGUUUCAGAUAUAUGAAGAGUGAUCACAUAUAUGGCAUCCUCAAAACAUGUCUGAGUUUGAUCUGUUCACGUGGGCGACAGGGAGAGAAAGAGGAAGAAGACGAAGAAGAAGGUCUCCUCGAAUUGUUCCAAAAUUUCAGGGCUUAAAUUAUAUUUGUUUGCGACUAGAAGUAGCAUGGUCCUCCAACUUGAAAGAGACGCAAAGGGGAAGGGGAAGGGUGGAC